CAUGCCAGGAACUUGCCAGAGAUGGCUUGGUGCUCGAAAGAGAACCUGGACACAGGUGCUGCAUGGCCGUCGUCAGCUCGUGUCGUGAGAUGUUGGGUUAAGUCCCGCAACGAGCGCAACCCUUGCCAUUAGUUGCUACGAAAGGGCACUCUAAUGGGACUGCCGGUGACAAACCGGAGGAAGGUGGGGAUGACGUCAGGUCAUCAUGGCCCUUAUGGGUAGGGCUACACACGUCAUACAAUGGCCGGUACAGAGGGCUGCCAACCCGCGAGGGGGAGCCAAUCCCAGAAAACCGGUCGUAGUCCGGAUCGCAGUCUGCAACUCGACUGCGUGAAGUCGGAAUCGCUAGUAAUCGCGGAUCAGCUUGCCGCGGUGAAUACGUUCCCGGGUCUUGUACACACCGCCCGUCACACCAUGGGAGCGGGUUCCGCCAGAAGUAGGUAGCCUAACCGCAAGGAGGGCGCUUACCACGGCGGGGUUCGUGACUGGGGNGAAGU
rnacentral:rRNA from 1 species